rfam:Schistosoma mansoni strain Puerto Rico chromosome 1, complete genome
AUCCAGCUGACGAGUCCCAAAUAAAGUGAAACGCGCGUCCCGGAU